UUGAACGCUGGCGGCAUGCUUUACCCCUGCCAGUCGAACGGUAACAGGCCUUCGGGUGCUGACGAGUGGCGACCGGGUGAGUAAUGCAUCGGAACGUACCCAGAGGUGGGGGAUAACGCAGCGAAAGCUGUGCUAAUACCGCAUGUGAUCUGAGGAUGAAAGCGGGGGACCGAGCAGCAAUGUUUGGCCUCGCGCCUUUGGAGCGGCCGAUGUCGGAUUAGCUAGUUGGUGGGGUAAAGGCCUACCAAGGCGACGAUCCGUAGCUGGUCUGAGAGGACGACCAGCCACACUGGGACUGAGACACGGCCCAGACUCCUACGGGAGGCAGCAGUGGGGAAUUUUGGACAAAGGGCGCAAGCCUGAUCCAGCAAUGCCGCGUGCGGGAAGAAGGCCUUCGGGUUGUAAACCGCUUUUGGCAGGAACGAAACGGUGUCCGCUAAUACCGGGCGCUAAUGACGGUACCUGCAGAAUAAGCACCGGCUAACUACGUG
rnacentral:rRNA from 1 species